GCCGGGUGUGGUGGUGCAUGCCUGUAAUCCCAGCUACUCUGGAGGCUGAGGCAGGAGAAUUGCUUGAACCCGGGAGGCAGAGGUUGCAGUGAGCUGAGAUCAUGCCACUGCACUCUAGCCUGGGUGACAGAGCAAGACUCCGUCUCAA
ensembl:misc_RNA Metazoa_SRP Metazoan signal recognition particle RNA